rnacentral:tRNA from 1 species
GGAGAGGUGGCUGAGUGGUUGAUAGCCCCGGUCUUGAAAACCGGUAUAGUUAUAAAAAACUAUCGAGGGUUCGAAUCCCUCUCUCUCCU